UACGGAGGGUGCAAGCGUUAUCCGGAUUUACUGGGUUUAAAGGGUGCGUAGGCGGGCCUUUAAGUCAGUGGUGAAAUCUCCCCGCUCAACGGGGAAACUGCCAUUGAUACUAUUGGUCUUGAAUUUAGUUGAGGUGGGCGGAAUGUGUCGUGUAGCGGUGAAAUGCUUAGAUAUGACACAGAACACCGAUUGCGAAGGCAGCUCGCUAAACUAAUAUUGACGCUGAGGCACGAAGGCGUGGGGAUCAAACAGG
rnacentral:rRNA from 1 species